rnacentral:rRNA from 1 species
GAUGAACGCUGGCGGCGUGCCUAAUACAUGCAAGUCGAGCGAACAGACGAGGAGCUUGCUCCUCUGACGUUAGCGGCGGACGGGUGAGUAACACGUGGAUAACCUACCUAUAAGACUGGGAUAACUUCGGGAAACCGGAGCUAAUACCGGAUAAUAUAUUGAACCGCAUGGUUCAAUAGUGAAAGACAGUUUUGCUGCCACUUAUAGAUGGAUCCGCGCCGCAUUAGCUAGUUGGUAAGGUAACGGCUUACCAAGGCAACGAUGCGUAGCCGACCUGAGAGGGUGAUCGGCCACACUGGAACUGAGACACGGUCCAGACUCCUACGGGAGGCAGCAGUAGGGAAUCUUCCGCAAUGGGCGAAAGCCUGACGGAGCAACGCCGCGUGAGUGAUGAAGGUCUUCGGAUCGUAAAACUCUGUUAUUAGGGAAGAACAAAUGUGUAAGUAACUAUGCACGUCUUGACGGUACCUAAUCAGAAAGCCACGGCUAACUACGUG